rnacentral:ncRNA from 1 species
UUUAAAUUGUAUUAAAAAUUUUAAUAAAAAUUAAUAAAUUUAAUUAUAGUUUUAAAGUUAAUUUUUAAAUUUUUUAUAUAUAUAAAUAUUAGAUAUUUAAUAUAAAAGUAAGUAGUAUAUAAAUUUAAUAAAGUUAAAAAUAUUUAAAUUUAGGAAUUUUUAUAAUUUGGAUAAAUAAUUGUGCCAGCAAUCGUGGUUAAACAAUUUAAAUAAAUUAAUUUAAUUAAAUUAAAAUUAAAUGAAUAUUUAUAAUAAAAAUUUAAAUUGUUAGGUGAAAUUAAUUAAUUUAUAAUUAUUAUAUAUUAGUAUAAGUUGAAUUUUUAAAAGAUUUUUGAAAAACUAGGAUUAGAUACCCUAUUAUAAAAUUUAAAGAAUAUAAUUUAAAUAUUAAAUGAUUAAUCAUUAAAUUUAAAUAAUUUGGCGGUAUUUUAAUUUUAUUAGAGGAAUUUGUUAAUUAAUUGAUAUUACCCGAUAAGAUAAACUUUAAUUAAAUUUUUAUAUUGUUGUUUAAAGAGUAUUUUUAUAAAAAUUAUUUAAAUUUUUUUUUAGAAAAAAAAUUCAGAUCAAAAUGAAGUAAAUGUUAAAGAGUUAAUGAGUUACAAUAAAUUUAAUUUAAAUGAAUUUAUAAUUUAAAUAUUAUAAUGAAGGUGGAUUUAAAAGUAAAAUAAAAUAAUUAUUUUAUUUGAUUUAAAUUUUAAAAUAUGUACAAAUUGCCCGUCGUUCUCUUUGAAAAAGGAGGUAAGUCGUAACAAAGUAAAAGUACUGGAAAGUGUUUUUAGAU